GGAUUUCGAAUGGGGGCACCCUGACGAAGCACGCCGCGUGGGUGAUGAAGUCUCUUGGGACGUAAAACCCUUUCGACGGGGAAGAAACCGCAAGGUUGACGGUACCCGUAGAAGAAGCCCCGGCUAACUCCGUGCCAGCAGCCGCGGUAAUACGGGGGGGGCAAGCGUUGUUCGGAAUUACUGGGCGUAAAGGGCGCGUAGGCGGUUUGCUAAGUCGAAUGUGAAAACUCUGGGCUUAACCCAGAGCCUGCAUUCAAUACUGGCAGGCUAGAGUUCUGGAGGGGAUAGCGGAAUUCCUGGUGUAGCGGUAAAAUGCGUAGAUAUCAGGAGGAACACCGGUGGCGAAGGCGGCUAUCUGGACAGAGUCUGACGCUGAGGCGCGAAAGCUAGGGGAGCAAACAGGAUUAGAUACCCUGGUAGUCCUAGCCCUAAACGAUGGAUACUUGCUGUGACUGGGAUUGAAUCCAGUCGUGGCGAAGCUAACGCAUUAAGUAUCCCGCCUGGGGAGUACGGUCGCAAGGCUGAAACUCAAAGAAAUUGACGGA
rnacentral:rRNA from 1 species